rnacentral:rRNA from 1 species
GACAAACGCUGGCGGCGUGCUUAACACAUGCAAGUCGAACGGAAAGGCCCUGCUUGCAGGGUGCUCGAGUGGCGAACGGGUGAGUAACACGUGGGUGAUCUGCCCCUUACUUUGGGAUAAGCCUGGGAAACUGGGUCUAAUACUGGAUAGGACCAUGCUGUAGGUGGUGUGGUGGAAAGAUUAGUUUCGGUAAGGGAUGAGCUCGCGGCCUAUCAGCUUGUUGGUGGGGUAAUGGCCUACCAAGGCGUCGACGGGUAGCCGGCCUGAGAGGGUGGACGGCCACAUUGGGACUGAGAUACGGCCCAGACUCCUACGGGAGGCAGCAGUGGGGAAUAUUGCACAAUGGGCGCAAGCCUGAUGCAGCGACGCCGCGUGGGGGAUGACGGCCUUCGGGUUGUAAACUCCUUUCAGCCAUGACGAAGCCCUUGUGGUGACGGUAGUGGUAGAAGAAGCACCGGCUAACUACGUG